CUCAGUUUUUAAUUUUUAUUUUAACACAGGGUCUUGCUAAGUUACUGAGGCUGGCCUUCACCGCUCGUCUAUCCAGUUCAGGGAUUACAGAUGUGCACCGCUGCGCCUAGCUGGGCAGAAUACAUUCAGCCGUUUUUCAGUCUCCCAAAGCUGGACAGAAAACAUGAAGCAGCUAUUUGAGAACCCUGAAAAGUAAACAUAAGAAGGCAGAAUGGGGAAGAAGACCAUAAUUUGAAGAUCCACCAAACUAAAGUCUACAGGAAAUCUUAUGUUGCCAGCAGAAGUAAAAGCAAUGGAACUCACAGGAGCCAGAACUCCAAAGGAAGAAAACUUUCUCACAGAUAUGAGGAGCUGUAUUCCCCUGGGGGAAGGGUGAACCUCACUGCUUUACUCCUCUUUCUAUCCUCCACAUCAUCUAGCUCCAGAUGCAGGCAGCCAUGAGAAGUACAUGGCAGAGCAGGAUAACUAAAGUCUGAAGUUUUCUUCCCAGAGGACCAAAGAGAGAAGCCCCAGGGAAUCAGAAGAUAGGAGGAAGUUAAAGAUGGAGGUAAAUAAGACUGGAAAAGAAAUCACAUUUGAUAGUUAAACUCUGAGAAUGAAACUUUUUUUCCUUUUAGCAGUGGGUAGAGGAGUAAAUGUGAUAGAGAAAUGUCUUUGCUAUUCACACAGAAUUUUGAAAGUGCAGUUGGGGCUGUAUAUACUCGCUUAGCUACAGACUGAAAUAGGUUUUAUAUUUACUCUAAGAAGGGUCUGAGGACGAUGUGGCUUUCUCUGAGGUAUAAGAACAGGAUAGGGAACUAUCUGCAUGUGUGUAUGUAUGUGAAUCUUCUUUCUAACAAAUGUUUGCACAUUUGGCAGAAUGUACAACUACUUAUACUUUCAUUUUAACAAACUCAGAGGUAAGGGUAUAGCUGAGAAGGUAUACAGCUCCCCCUGCUAAUAUAUGGGGGCCACCAAUAUUUACCAAAAAACAAGAAUAAAAGAAACCCAAGUAAACACCAGGUUGUACACCAACAGGGAGAGUGGAGAGUCUCAGCUCCACAGGGAGCAUACUUGUAAAAAGGAAAAUAAUCCUCCCUCUUUACUACUUCCAUAAGCUUUGAGGGGAAAGAUAUGCUUAACAUUUAAAAUGAAGACGAUAUGUUUCAAAAAGACAGAAUUAGAUGAUUUUAGUGACUGAAAGCAGCUAAUAGUGAUGAAACAAAGGCAAAGAAAAAGGUAUAAAGGAGAUUUCAAGGGAACUUCCUUCCCAAUAGGAAAGAGGAGUUUGAAAGGGCACAGCUAGUUACAGUUAUUGCAAAAGUUACAACUUUUUCACAUUAUACCUUGAGAACUGAGGCAUCUCAAAUUAAUAUGCAAAUGUUGGCUCAUGUAAUUUUUUUUCUCCUUUAAAAAAUAAGCAAUAAACUCACAGUGGAGCAGAGGUUAUGUUAGAAACAGGGUCACCAUGGUCAGAUGUUUCUUUGUAUUUUUUCAUAAUACUUUGUUUAACCUUUGCUCAUCAUCAUUCAUGGCUAUGUGGGUGGUAGAAUUAUGGGCCACUAUGCUUUCUAUUUCACUACCAUAUAAAUAUGUAUAUUCAUUCACACACAUAUACAUCCCUAAUUUUCAAAAGAAUUCAAAAGCAUUUAUUAAGAAUUCUCUUUUUUUCCUCAAAUCAGAUAUGGUACCCUCAGUAUCACUGAGACUAUAAAGAACACAAAUCUGUUUAAAACUGCUGCAGUAAACAGAAUGAAUGUUUGCACUUAGAUAAGAACCUAUUAUCAUUUUAAUAUAAAUGCAUUGAGUUAUAUAGAAUUUAGAUUUUAAAAAGCAUUUUUGAUUUGUUUUUGAAAAGGAAAUCAAAGAACUAUUCAAAAGGGAGAAUUUAAGAUACUUUUUAAAGCAAACAUGCACUAUGGAUAUAUUACUCAGAACAAUUAUUCUUUUACUGCUAAUGAGGUUCCUGUCAAAAUAAAAUGCUUGAAAUUAGAAAUUGCCAUUCCUUUCUCUUUGCCAAUGUUAUCACUUAUACUACCAUUAGGUGGCGAUACAAAAUUAGUAUUCUAAUUAAUUUAGGUUGUUCAAAGCAAGUAGCAAAUACUUUUCAUAUACUUACAAGUAAAAUAUGCUCAAAGUAUCUCUUCAAUGGAUUUUAGGGUAAUAAGGGAAGUAUUUCAUUUUUUUUCCUGGAUUUUAAUUCAUAUCACUAAACCAGUUGAAUCAGAGGUUAGCAACAGUUGGACUUUUGACUGCAUGUUUCACAUGCUAAGAAAAAAUAAUAAUAGCAUUCAUAAAUCAUAAUGGUUAUUUUGUGUUUUUGUAAACUCUCAAACCCGCAAGCAUAUUGUUCCAGCUCCAUUUAUUUGUUUUGAUUAUGUUGAUAUUAAUAACAACCAAUCUUUAAAAGAGAG